rnacentral:rRNA from 1 species
CCCCGGACUUGCAGUGGGUACGGGCAGACUAGAGUGUGGUAGGGGAGACUGGAAUUCCUGGUGUAGCGGUGGAAUGCGCAGAUAUCAGGAGGAACACCGAUGGCGAAGGCAGGUCUCUGGGCCACUACUGACGCUGAGAAGCGAAAGCAUGGGGAGCGAACAGGAUUAGAUACCCUGGUAGUCCAUGCCGUAAACGGUGGGAACUAGGUGUGGGUCUCAUUCCACGAGAUCCGUGCCGCAGCUAACGCAUUAAGUUCCCCGCCUGGGGAGUACGGCCGCAAGGCUAAAACUCAAAGGAAUUGACGGGGGCCCGCACAAGCGGCGGAGCAUGCGGAUUAAUUCGAUGCAACGCGAAGAACCUUACCAAGGCUUGACAUACACCGGAAUCACUCAGAGAUGGGUGCGUCUUCGGACUGGUGUACAGGUGGUGCAUGGUUGUCGUCAGCUCGUGUCGUGAGAUGUUGGGUUAAGUCCCGCAACGAGCGCAACCCUCGUUCCAUGUUGCCAGCAACACCUUCGGGUGGUUGGGGACUCAUGGGAGACUGCCGGGGUCAACUCGGAGGAAGGUGGGGAUGACGUCAAAUCAUCAUGCCCCUUAUGUCUUGGGCUUCACGCAUGCUACAAUGGCCGGUACAAAGGGCUGCGAUACCGUAAGGUGGAGCGAAUCCCAAAAAACCGGUCUCAGUUCGGAUUGGGGUCUGCAACUCGACCCCAUGAAGUCGGAGUCGCUAGUAAUCGCAGAUCAGCAACGCUGCGGUGAAUACGUUCCCGGGCCUUGUACACACCGCCCGUCAAGUCACGAAAGUCGGUAACACCCGAAGCCGGUGGCCCAACUGCCUUGUGCAGGGGGAGCCGUCGAA